ensembl:lncRNA
AAAAAGACCCGGACUUUCGGAUCCCAAGCGGUUCUUCAGGUGGUGUUGGAGAGGCGGAUGCAGUCCAAGAUAAAGACAAUGUUGGAUAACACCUCCCACCCACUCCAUGACAUGCUGGUCAGUCACAGGAGCUCGUUCAGUGAGAGACUGAGAUUACCGAAAAGCACCACUGAACGACACAGGAAAUCUUUCCUGCCUGUGGCCAUCUCCCUGUACAACGCAUGCACUUAACACACUGUUUGCUGCUAUAACUACACAUGUUUCUUUUUAAGCUAUUUAUUUAUGAGUGACUUAUGUAUGUAUGUAUGUAUAUAUAUGUAUAUAUUGUACUAUUCUUAGUUAGCGUAUUGUCUGUCUUGUCUUAAUGUUGGUUUAUAAUGGAGCACUGUAACAAAAAAUAAUUUCCCCCAGGGAUCAAUAAAGUAUUCUGAUUCUGAUUCUGAUUAUUAUAUAAAUAGUCUUUUAUUUAUUCACAAAAUGUAAAAAAAAAAUUAUAAAAUCCAAAAAGCAACUAUGUACAAUUCAACUUUUAACUAUUUAAAGUUUCAGAUUUUUCCUUUUAAACAAAUUUAAAGGAAACAACACAAGAUACUGCAAACCACAACACAAUAAAAUAUUGAUUAAAAUAUGCAAAACACAAAGAAAAAAAAUGAAAGCCCAGGUCUUUAAUUAAGGGAAAAGUUGGCAUUUAGAAAUAUUAAUAUCACACUCAACUGACUGUGUUUUAUUUUUCCAUUGCACUGAUGGGUGGACAGUUCUCAGGUGCCUGUGCAGGUUGUUUGUGGAGCCGGCUCUAUAUGAUAGUCUUUUCUUGCAGACUCUACACUCUGCCUUUUAGUGUCAAUAAAAUUUAAAUGGUUCCAGAUUUUGCUUCUUUUCUUGAUGUCACUCAUUUUCUUUAACAUACCUUUCCAAUGUAACGAUGUUGUGUCUUGUUGUUGCUCCCAGCUCUCUUUCUGUCUCUCUCCCUCCUGCUCUUUUCGUGUGCUACUGCUGUUGCCAAACGCAAGGCUCUGUUUGCACCCCUCCAGUCUCUGCUCUGCGCAAAAAAACACGGCUCCCAAUAGAGAGUGAAAAUGUGACGUCAUUCCGGGGUAAAACCACAAAGGAUUCUGGGAACAAGUGGCAAGCAGUACUAGCCCACGCAGGCUUUCCCAUGAAAACAGUCACACAGCGAUAAAAAGAAACACAAAUAAUGGCAAGAAGCUGUUGUAUUAUUAACUGCAAUAGCCGGUCGCAUGACAGCCACAGGAAGCCGACGGGUAAAGAAAUCGGUUGUAAUCGGAUUACAUCGUUGAAGAGAAAUUGUUCAAGCCAUGUUUCAUGGCUUGAACAUGAACAUGACGGAUGGCCUGGAUUGCAGACCAAAUAUAAUGUCCCAGAACACUCCAGCUCACAUGUUAGUCUGCUCCAAGUAUUUCCACAAAGGUCAGUUUUCUGUUGUAGUUAUUACGUAAUUUAUCAUUUAUCAUAACAUAAUUGUUGAUUUAGGUUACAAAUAAGUCUUAUGUUGAUU